UACGUAGGGCGCAAGCGUUAUCCGGAAUUAUUGGGCGUAAAGAGCUCGUAGGCGGUUUGUCGCGUCUGCCGUGAAAGUCCGGGGCUCAACUCCGGAUCUGCGGUGGGUACGGGCAGACUAGAGUGAUGUAGGGGAGACUGGAAUUCCUGGUGUAGCGGUGAAAUGCGCAGAUAUCAGGAGGAACACCGAUGGCGAAGGCAGGUCUCUGGGCCGUUACUGACGCUGAGGAGCGAAAGCAUGGGGAGCGAACAGG
rnacentral:rRNA from 1 species